CGACAAAUCCCAAAGGUAUAUAACCCUUCAAUACCCUGCAAGCUAAGGAAGCAAUUUUUCUUCUAUAAAAUCAUUAAAUUUAUGUCAUUUUCUUAGUGUUUUCUUAUCCAUAUUUAAUCAGUACAGAUUCAUGGGAAGACUACUAUUACCUAUCACAGUUUACCAUGACACUCUCAUUUUGCAUUUUCAUGCAGCAGUACAAAGAACAAGAAUGCAUCAAACAAUCGAGGACAGGCAGAGUAAUGCUGCGAGGGGAAACAUAUGGAGGUACUAUGCAAGACAUAGCAGAUUGAACCAGUUCCACUUAAUACCUUCCUAACAAUGACACAAAUUAUAAACCAUGAAGGGCAACAUCCAGCUAUGCUACAAUGAAGAUACAAGCUUCAAUGCCUUCCAUACCAGUUACUUAUAGUAUAACAUUAUCAAUAAUCGUUACCUUCAUCGCUACCUACUGUAAAUAAGAAACAUUCUCAAAAUUCUAAAUGUCCUUUAGGAGUACAAAACUAUAUAUAUAUANAAUAUAUAUAUUAUGAUGUGAGACUACAUGUAUCUGCAACAACUGUUGAUGUCAUAUGUACCUUUUCUCUG
rnacentral:lncRNA from 1 species